CACCAGUACCAUAAAGUCCUACACCGGUACAAAGUCAUUUGAAAUCGAUACUAUGUUUCGAUGAUUUUCGAAAUCAAUACCGGGUGAAUACACGAGUAUCAAUCCAACGCUCAUCCCUAUUGGAGUAGCUUAAAUAAAGGGGGUUAAAGUGAAAUAUAUUGUAUUAAGUAAGACUAAUGUCAAAGUUAAACAAAGUAGUAAAAAGGUGAAAAACAUAUACAACUUCCCUUGGAAAACAGUCAUUCCCAAAUCUCACUAGAGAAGCUUUCUAAAAAUGGCAAAUUCAAAUCAGCAGCAGCAACUCUCAAUAAAACCAUGGAUCCUUGAAGUUGUUCCUUUUGUAGUUGUUGUUCUUAUAGCUGCUCAUGUUAUUGCUUUGGUAUAUUGGAUAUACAGAUUAGCUACUGAGAAGCUUCCUGGAAGAAGAAAGAAGCACUAAUAACAACUCAGUAUGUUUUAUUUCUUUUUUUUUGGUAAUAUAUAUUGUAGAAUUGAUGCACCUAAGGUGUUUGAUAAUAUGUGUGAAAGAAAAAAUGUUACCCAUUUGAAAGUUAAGUUUGGUUAAAAUGAAAAAAAUGAGUGAUGUAUUCAGUUAGUGUUUGGUGAUUUGUUUUUGUGAAAAGAAUUACACAAUUCUAAGUAAUGUUUUGUGGCUUGAUUUUUUCGA